rnacentral:rRNA from 1 species
GUGCCAGCAGCCGCGGUAACACGUAGGAUCCGAGCGUUAUCCGAAUUUACUGGGCGUAAAGCGCGUGCAGGCGGUUUGGUAAGUUGAAUGUGAAAGCUCCUGGCUCAACUGGGAGAGGCCGUUCAAAACUACCAGACUCGAGGGUGGUAGAGGGAGGUGGAAUUCCCGGUGUAGUAGUGAAAUGCGUAGAUGUCGGGAGGAACACCAGAGGCGAAGGCGGCCUCCUGGACCAUUCCUGACGCUAAGACGCGAAAGCUAGGGGAGCGAACGGGAUUAGAUACCCGAGUAGUCC